ACCAAAGAAAAAGAAAACAAAAAGCCCCAGAAUCUCAGGAGGGAGAGGAUGUGUGCUUUCAAAGAUGCAACAACCAACUCUUUCUUCAUUGUGCCAGAAGAUGCAUCCAUGAAUUUAGGCUUUUUUGGUUCAGAAGCGGCAGUAGACCUAAUGGACCUAAUGGACCUAUACACUUACUGAGUCUGGAGAAUAGCACAAUAGACUCUGAAAACAGAGCCUUUGAAAUCCUUAUUUGUUACUAUAUGCACAUAGCACUUUGGAAAUCCAUGCAAACAUCUAUUAAUUUUUACAGUAAACAGUAUAGAAUAUUUCAAGCUGGAUAAAAGACAAUUUAUUUCUUGCUAUUUUUUCUGUUGAUAAUUUUAUACUUUGUAUUAUCUUUCAUUCUUUGCUCCCAUGUCCAUUUAUUUCUUCUCUUGCUCUAAAUAAAAGUGCCGAAAAGAUGAAAAUAUCUCUACUCAGAUAUUUGAUUCCACUCAGAUUGUUGCUUUCAAUUCUAGAAGACGAAGUCAUAUUGAAAACAUUUUUCAACAAUUGCACUGUUUCUCUCCCCCUGCCAAAGUUGAAAUCUAAAGAUAGUAGACUGACUGUAGUAAGAAGCUAUGUAACUUUCAUAUUACCCAAUCUAGCAGAUAAAAAGAAACCUUUUUUUUUUUUUCAUUUAGUGCUUCAACACAUGGCUCGCCUGAAUGCAUGACUGUAAGAAAGUUUUAUUUUCUUGUGUAGAAAUGUCACAUUCAGUCUCUGCCCAGUUCCACUUCAUCCGGUAUUUAAUGAGAAAGGGAAGUAAAGCUUAGAGUUUGGCCAUGAAAAUCAAAUAAAAUGCUCACAUAACUUGUAAAAUAACUUGACUUCUCCUGGUGAAAUCAGAAAACUUUUAAUGAGAAGAAAAAAAAAAAAGUACUGCAUCUCUCCAAAGAUACUUUUUUUUUUGAGAAUCACCAUCCAGCAGCCUAUGCUUACUGCUGACACUGCUGUAACAGCAGAGACCUUGAAGGUCCCCAGAGCCUUCAAUCUGAACACAUUGGCUGUCCCUGCCUCUACCCACCCUUUAGCCUUAGUUCACACCUUUUCAUGAAAAUAUAGUACGAGUUCUUAUGUAGCACUGUAAUCGUUUCUAGUCACUUUCUUUCCCAUCCUGCUUGGAAGAUGGGCAUGGAUGGGUUAUACAAUUCAAUGCUGCAAAGAGGUUUUAAUGGCACUGAGUCCUCAUUCUCAUAUCUGAACCUGUCAUCCUACUGUUUUUGUUUCUUCCCUCCUUCA